CCUACGGGUGACUGCAGUGAGGAAUAUUGGUCAAUGGUCGGGAGACUGAACCAGCCAAGCCGCGUGAGGGAUGAAGGUACAGAGUAUCGUAAACCUCUUUUGUCAGGGAACAAAGGCGGGGACGUGUCCCCGGAUGAGUGUACCUGACGAAAAAGCAUCGGCUAACUCCGUGCCAGCAGCCGCGGUAAUCCGGAGGAUGCGAGCGUUAUCCGGAUUUCUUGGGUUUAAGGGGGGCGCAGGCGGUCUGUUAAGACAGCGGUAAAAGCCCGGGGCUCAACCCCGGCCCGCCGUUGAAACUGGCAGUCUCGAGUUGGAGAGAAGUAUGCGGAAUGUGCGGUGUAGCGGUGAAAUGCAUAGAUAUCGCGCAGAACUCCGAUUGCGAAGGCAGCAUGCCGGCUCCACACUGACGCUGAGGCACGAAAGCGUGGGUAUCGAACAGGAUUAGAUACCCGUGUAGUC
rnacentral:rRNA from 1 species